rnacentral:rRNA from 1 species
UACGAAGGGUGCAAGCGUUACUCGGAAUUACUGGGCGUAAAGCGUGCGUAGGUGGUUUGUUAAGUCUGUUGUGAAAGCCCCGGGCUCAACCUGGGAAUGGCAAUGGAUACUGGCAAGCUAGAGUGCGGGUAGAGGGUAGAUGGAAUUCCCGGUGGUAGCGGUGAAAUGCGUAGAGAUCGGAAAGAACACCAACGGCGAAAAGCACUCUGCUGGGCCGACACUGACACUGAGAGACGAAAGCUAGGGGGAGC